rfam:Felis catus isolate Cinnamon breed Abyssinian chromosome E3, whole genome shotgun sequence.
GGAUGUGAGGGCCACCGGCUGCAAUAUCUGUCAUGCCAGUUCUCCAGGAUGGAUCUGGCACAUGUGGUGGGCUAGCUGAGUGUAUCCUUCCUCCCUCACUGUACAGCCCUCCUGAACCUUCCCCCAUAGAGCAGGACCAUUCUUCAGUCAAGGGUAUACAGUGGCACUCCCCUGCUAGAGGCUCCCAGCAAGCUCUCAAGGCCCACAGCAGCAUCACCCACUAGAGCCAAAAGGUGGAAGUUACCCAAGUGUGCAUGGACGGAUGACUAUGGAAUGUAGUAUAUACACAGAAU